rnacentral:rRNA from 1 species
UACGAAGGGGGCUAGCGUUGUUCGGAAUUACUGGGCGUAAAGCGCACGUAGGCGGCUUUCUAAGUCGGGGGUGAAAUCCUGGAGCUCAACUCCAGAACUGCCUUUGAUACUGAAGAUCUUGAGUUCGGGAGAGGUGAGUGGAACUGCGAGUGUAGGGGUGAAAUCCGUAAAUAUACGAAGGAACGCCAAAAGCGAAGGCAGCUCUCUGGGUCCCUACCGACGCUGGGGUGCGAAAGCAUGGGGAGCGAACAGG